UUGGUGCCUUCGGGAACUCUGAGACAGGUGCUGCAUGGCUGUCGUCAGCUCGUGUUGUGAAAUGUUGGGUUAAGUCCCGCAACGAGCGCAACCCUUAUCCUUUGUUGCCAGCGGUCCGGCCGGGAACUCAAAGGAGACUGCCAGUGAUAAACUGGAGGAAGGUGGGGAUGACGUCAAGUCAUCAUGGCCCUUACGAGUAGGGCUACACACGUGCUACAAUGGCGCAUACAAAGAGAAGCGACCUCGCGAGAGCAAGCGGACCUCAUAAAGUGCGUCGUAGUCCGGAUUGGAGUCUGCAACUCGACUCCAUGAAGUCGGAAUCGCUAGUAAUCGUAGAUCAGAAUGCUACGGUGAAUACGUUCCCGGGCCUUGUACACACCGCCCGUCACACCAUGGGAGUGGGUUGCAAAAGAAGUAGGUAGCUUAACCUUCGGGAGGGCGCUUACCACUUUGUGAUUCAUGACUGGGGUGAAGUCGUAACAAGGUAACCGUAGGGGAACCUGCGGUUGGAUCACCUCCUUA
rnacentral:rRNA from 2 species